AGAGAUCUGGAGGAAUACCGGUGGCGAAGGCGGCCCCCUGGACGAAGACUGACGCUCAGGUGCGAAAGCGUGGGGAGCAAACAGGAUUAGAUACCCUGGUAGUCCACGCCGUAAACGAUGUCGACUUGGAGGUUGUGCCCUUGAGGCGUGGCUUCCGGAGCUAACGCGUUAAGUCGACCGCCUGGGGAGUACGGCCGCAAGGUUAAAACUCAAAUGAAUUGACGGGGGCCCGCACAAGCGGUGGAGCAUGUGGUUUAAUUCGAUGCAACGCGAAGAACCUUACCUGGUCUUGACAUCCACAGAACUUUCCAGAGAUGGAUUGGUGCCUUCGGGAAC
rnacentral:rRNA from 1 species